AGCAAAAAGGAAAAGAAAAAUAGCAUAACUGCAAAUUUUACUGAAAGUUUUUAUCUACAUGUAACAAUGAUUAUUCAUUCACUAGUGUACGAUAAUAGAAAAUGACUCGUAUGCAUUACAAUGGGUUCAAAAACGCGCUACAAUGCCGCCCUCAAAAGAUAAAGAUAUGGGCUUGGACAACAGCAUGGGAAAUAGCAGGUGGCACUCCCUGUCGACUCUCGUGUGUGAACAAUGGCCGCCAAAAUAAUAAUUCCGAUCGUUAUUUCUUUACUAAUUUUCCUUGCUGAUACACAGGACAAUAUCCGUUGUGAUAUGAAUAACCGUUAUUCGUCGUGCGACCCCGGGUUUUGUUGCGUGAGAGACCAAUUCCUAGCAACAUAUCUCUACUGCAAACGCAUUCCAACAGACACCCACCACUGCAUCACAUUGGAGUCGGAAUCAGAGUGCGCAUGUGCUGAGAACCUGACAUGUAUACCGAACAUUGACCUGCCAACUUUUGUUUCCGUGUAUGGUACAUGCCAGAAUAAUUCCACCGGCGGGGCAUCAACAACUGCAACGUUCCACAAGCCCACGGCUUCUCACCAUUCUAAGUCUCCAUAAAAAAGGAUGUUUAUCGCCCUUCAAUCAUUGAAUUAAAUGCUGAUGAACAAAA